rfam:Homo sapiens chromosome 1, GRCh38 reference primary assembly.
GCCGGGCAUGGCGGUGCGUGCCUGUAAUCCUGGCUACUUGGAGGCUGAGGCAGGAGAAUCACUUGAACUCGGGAGGUGGAGGUUGCAGUGAGCCGAGAUUGCACCACUGCACUCCAGCCUGGGCAACAGAGUGAGACUUUGUCUUGA